UUGUUUCAGUUUGUUUUUUUCAUUUGAAUUUUCCAUGCCAUUAUUUCAGCAAAAUUUCAAUUUUCACCAAAAAUUCUGUUCUGGCUGUUUGGAAGAACACAGCAAACGCUUUGUGAUAUUCUUGGUAUCAGCUUAUUCUAGCGGCUAAUUAAUCAGUCAGCAGCAUGUGCAAAGUAUCUUGCGGAAACAUUUUGACCGGAAAUCGUAGAACAUUUGAUAACAAGUUUGUGAAAUACAAAGCAAAAAACAAAAAAAAAAAACCAACUCGAUAAAGUUGCCUCAAAUUUCCGCUAUCAAAACGAAAUGUUUGUGGUCUGGCUCGUAAUAUGAUAAGUAAAAAUGCCAGCUCAUGUGGCAGCCGCAUCAUGAGAUAGACAGGUACAACUUAUCCAACUCCAAGUGUUGCAUGCAACGUGACCACAACAAAACAAAAAACACAAAAAAUACAAAAAAUGCCAUGAGACAGCAACUUAAGUACCACAUGCAACAGACCUGGACUUAGUGUUGAGGAGUCCACCAAACGAAACGGCCAACCAAGCGGCCAACUAACCAUCCAUCAACUUGGCCAUGGCCGAAACGUGUUGAGCGCUGGCCGCAGCGAAAAAUUGAAAAGCAUCUAAUUGGUAAUUAUGAGCUGAGCGCGUGCUUGUCAAAAAAAAAAAAAAAAAAGAAACACAAAAAGAAAACAGAACACAACAUGCAGACAACAUACACGAAAAAAAAAAAAUAUACAAAAAAUUAAAUGAGAAAUAAAAUAUAUGAAUAAAAUUGCUCGACCACAAGAUACCACAA